rnacentral:rRNA from 1 species
AGUGAACGCUGGCGGUAGGCCUAACACAUGCAAGUCGACCGGAAGCACGUUAAGCGUUUCUCUUACCGGUUGGCGGGGGGCGGCCGGGGAAGAAUUAAAUGGGAUCCUAUUUUUCCUGGGGGAAAAACGAGGGAAAAUUACGCUUACUCCGGAAUAGAUCCAACGGGUGAAUCCAGGGGUUCUUCGACCUUUUGCCGUUGGAUAGGGCGGUGUCGGAUUAGCUAGUUGGCGGGGUAAAGGCCCACCAAGGCCACGAACCGUAGCUGGUCUGAGAGGAUGAUCAGCCACACUGGAACUGAGACACGGUCCAGACUCCUACGGGAGGCAGCAGUGGGGAAUAUUGGACAAUGGGCGCAAGCCUGAUCCAGCCAUACCGCGUGGGUGAAGAAGGCCUUCGGGUUGUAAAGCCCUUUUGUUGGGAAAGAAAAGCAGCAGGUUAAUACCCCGCUGUUCUGACGGUACCCAAAGAAUAAGCACCGGCUAACUUCGUG